rnacentral:misc_RNA from 1 species
GGGCAAGUUCCCAGGCCAAUGAAAAAAGAAAAAACACUCACAUGAAUCUAUACGUUAUCUCCCUCGAAUAUCAGUUUCCUCUGCUUCUUCUUUGUCAGUGCGGUUUUGUAUUCUCUUUUCCCUGUCUAUGCUCUCAUUCCCUCUUUCUCUGUAAUCUCUUCUUUAAUUAUAAAAUCUAAAUUGUAUUUUCAUGGGAGAAUCCAUUCCUGCUCGUUGCAUAUCCGUUCAUCAAGCUCUUGGCGGCGGCGCAGUAGUGGCUGAUUUGCUGUUAUGGAAGAUAUGAUGUGGGAGUGUUACGAUUCUAGUUACAGCGACUACCUUGUGGAUGCUGUUUGAGUAAGCCGGUUAUAAUCUCUUGUCUUUUUUAGCUAAUGUGUUAUUGCUUCUCGUCGCCAUUCUCUUCUUCUGGGCCAAAUCUGCUUCCCUUCUCAACAGGUUCUCUUUCAUGUCCCUUUUGCAUCUCAAUGUUUUUUAAUUUGAAAAUUUUGCCAUUAUCAGUUGUACUUGAAUAAUAAAGCAAAGCAACCAUGGACAAGAUAAGGGUAAUUCUUCUUUUGGAAUUAAAAAAAAGAUAGAUCUUUCUUCUCUAGCUUUCAUUUUCUAAAAUGGAAAAUGAUUAGUUCUGUGCAUCAGGCCUCUGCCUCCCCUGCCUGACCUGGAAAUUUCUGAGGAGACUAUUGUCAAGGCUGCUGGUGUGCUUCAAGUGUAUGCUAAUCAUGCGCUGUCAAUUGCACGUGAGAUUGUAAUCGGCAGAAAUUUGAAAUUGUUCCUUCAGGUUAGGAGAUAUAACCCCUCAAUUGAACUUUUUAUGCAAGAUUUUGGAUUUGUUUAUUUUAUUUUAUUUUUAUUGAUUAAUUACAAAAUACUUCCUGAUAUUUGCAUUAAAAUACACUUUUAUAAUUGCUGUUAGCAAUUUUAAGCCCUAUACUACCAUCUGUGAAAAUCACAAAAUUUUGAGCAACUGGUUACUGAAUUGUUUUAUAAUACGGUAAUUUAGAGAUUAUAGUCCUACUAAAUUUUGAAACUUUACUUUGGAGACUAAAGUGUAAUCAAAUCCAAAAUUUUAGGGACUUAAGUGUAGUGAAUUUUAUAAUCAUGUACUAAAAAGUUGAAUUAUUAACAAUCUUCAAUGACUAGAAUUAUUAUAGUAAGGACCAAAGUGUAUAUUAUAGAAAACCUCAAGGGUCUCUUUUUAAUUAAUCCUAUUUUUAUUGAUUCAAGCAGCUUGUUUUUUCCAUGCAUUAUUGACAUGCAAUGGGAUUCUUUAGGUCGCUUUUGGUUUGUGGUUAGCAUCAUAUAUUGGUAGUCUCUGCAAUUUCCUCACUCUUGUCUAUAUUGGGGUUCUCCUUAGCCUUUCAGUUCCUGUACUUUAUGACAAAUACCAGCACCGCAUUGAUGAAAAGUUGUCUGUAACACACAGAAUCAUUCAAACACAGUAUAGGAAAAUCGAUGAAAGCCUCCUAAAGAAGAUUCCACUGCCAUCAAGCAAGGAAAAGAAGAUUCAGUAGGUAAGUCUCUGCUUCCACCAGCCACCCACAACCAACAUACAUCAAUACUUUAUCAAUCUUGCACUUAUGGGAUCUCUUCUAGAAUUAUCAAUGCUAGAAUUACUAGAAUCCAAAUUUCAUACCAAGGCAUUGGGCUAAAGAAAAUGAUAUAGGAAGACAUAAUUGUCAAACUCCAUAUUUGAGACAGAAGAGAAUGUUAAUGAAAAUCUCCAUUUGAGUGAGGUUAGACAAUAUUCUACAUUUCUUAGAGUUCAGUUAGGAAAAAUAAGGAAAAAAGAAAAGGAAAUAUGUGAGGUAAAGGGAAAUAAAAUAGAGAACAAGAGUAGAUAGAGAAUGGAUGGAAUAGUGGACCGAGAGAGAGUGGAGAGUUGGAAAAAAAGGAAAAGCAAGAAACAGGAACCUUUUUGGAAUGUGUGGAUGGACAUCAAGAGAGAGGGGAUUGGCUAGAGGGCGCCAUGGAAGGCCUUUUGGAGCCUUGCCUUCUUCUUUUCUUAUGUUCUUUUCUUUUUCUAUUUUGCUGGAACUCUCUUUCUCUCGAUCUCUCUCCCUUUGUUGCUUUCAAUUUUGAUUGGGGUGUAUACAAUAUACCAUAAUCUAAUAAUCACCUUAUAUCAACAGCCUAUUGUGAAUAAUAUCAAGUAAAUAGAAAAGA